AAUGCGCUAUUGAAAAGAAGAAAAAAAAGUGUGAAAUUAGAGAUCCAAAAAAUAGCGUGCCAAAUAAUAUUUCCCUCUCACUUCUUUCACUUCUGGUUUGCUCUGCACGCUAUACCAACGCCAGCACCCUCUGAAAGGACAACUGCGCGAUACUCUCCCUCUCACGACUGACGUUGAACCGGCGACGACGACGACAACGAGACGUUCAUCUCCGUCCGUCGUCGUUGUCUCUGUUCAUCCUCACUUUCAUCACACGAUUUCGCAAGGGGUAUUCUAUUUCUCGGCUUCAAUCUCUCAGACUUCCGAUCUCUCGGCUUCAUCUGGGUCUCUCCCUUUUUCCUGUUGGCUUUCUAGGUUCGACUAAUGAUUCGAGAUCUUAAGUUCCACAUCCUCUGACCUUCGUUUGUCUCCGACGACCUCUGCUGACUAUCUCUUUGCAUCAACAAGAUGACUCAAAGGUUACAAGUGGCUAUAUUUCUAAUAUAGCAAGAGGAGUUGUUGCUUGGAAAUCCAAGAAACAUAUAACAUUAGCCCAAUCAACGAUGGAGUCAGAGAUGAUAGCACUGGUUACUGUUAGUGAAGAAGCAAGUUGCCUUCGAAGUUUGUUAUCAAAGAUUUCCACAUGGGAAAUACCGAUACCAACCAUACUAAUCCAUUGUGAUAGUACUGCAGCUAUCGCAAAAGUUCAGAACUGUUGUUACAACGCUACGAGACGAUAUAUAGAUAUGUCGAGCACAGUACCAUUAGAGAAUUUCUCACUAUUGGUGCAGUGAUAGUAGAUUACGUAUGAUCUGAUGACAACUUGGCUGAUCCUUUGACGAAAGGACUAGCAAGAGAGAAAGUUUUCUAAACCUAAAAAACAAUGGGACUUUGGUAUGCAACCCUAAAUCAAGAAUUGUAAAAAUGUGGCAACGAGACUCUAGAAUUUCUAUAGAAGGAAAAUACCCGAAUGUCUAGUAAAAAGACUAAAUUAACCCUA